UGUAAGUGCUAUGAUGGAAACGCUCUUAGGCAUCCUGUAAGCCACAGAUUUACCUGGAAAACAAGACAACUGGGACCCAGAGAAAAUGCCCACAAGCUCACAAGAAACUUUCUAAUUUGUCUUCUCAACUGUUUAUACAUACUAGCUGUUAUAAGAAUGUAUGAUUAUUAUACUUGGGCACAAUGUUUACUUACUUGUGGAAAUUGUGAAAGAUUGUCCUUACAGCAUGUAACGCAUUAUGUCAAGGUAAAACAAUAUCCCUGCCCCUACCGCCUUGUAAUCAAGCUGCUCGAAAGUGGUGGUAUGACUUCAGAAGUUUCAUCCCUUUCACACCAGAUGACCCUGAACUAAGAGGCUGGUAUGAUUCCAGAGAGAAACCUGGAAGCAAAGCGACCUAGAGCUCUCCGGCGAUAUAUGCUCUGUUUUCAGUAAAAUUAGUUGAAACAUG